GACGAACGCUGGCGGCGUGCUUAACACAUGCAAGUCGAACGGAAAGGCCCUGCUUUUGUGGGGUGCUCGAGUGGCGAACGGGUGAGUAACACGUGAGUAACCUGCCCUUGACUUUGGGAUAACUUCAGGAAACUGGGGCUAAUACCGGAUAGGAGCUCCUGCUGCAUGGUGGGGGUUGGAAAGUUUCGGCGGUUGGGGAUGGACUCGCGGCUUAUCAGCUUGUUGGUGGGGUAGUGGCUUACCAAGGCUUUGACGGGUAGCCGGCCUGAGAGGGUGACCGGCCACAUUGGGACUGAGAUACGGCCCAGACUACUACGGGAGGCAGCAGUGGGGAAUAUUGCACAAUGGGCGGAAGCCUGAUGCAGCAACGCCGCGUGCGGGAUGAGGGCCUUCGGGUUGUAAACCGCUUUCGCCUGUGACGAAGCGUGAGUGACGGUAAUGGGUAAAGAAGCACCGGCUAACUACGUG
rnacentral:rRNA from 1 species